GACGAACGCUGACGGUGUGCUUUAGGCAUGCAAGUCGAACGAGAAAGCCCUUCGGGGUGAGUAAAGUGGCGAACGGGUGAGUAACACGUGGGCAACCUGCCCCUCGCAGGGGGACAACUGGAGGAAACUCCGGCUAAUACCCCGUACGCUUGUUGGAUCGCAUGGUCCGGCAAGGAAAGGUAGCUUCGGCCAUCCGGCGAGGGAUGGGCCCGCGUUGCAUUAGCUAGUUGGUGGGGUAACGCCUACCAAGGCGACGAUGCGUAGCUGGUCUGAGAGGAUGAUCAGCCACACUGGGACUGAGACACGGCCCAGACUCCUACGGGAGGCAGCAGCCAGGAAUCUUGGGCAAUGGGCGAAAGCCUGACCCAGCAACACCGUGUGGGCGACGAAGGCCUUAGGGUCGUAAAGCCCUGUUGAUAGGGACGAAGGGCGAAGGGUUAAUAGCCCCUAGCUUGACGGUACCUUUCGAGGAA
rnacentral:rRNA from 1 species